rnacentral:rRNA from 1 species
AUUGAACGCUGGAGGCAGGCCUAACACAUGCCAGUCGAACGAGUGGCGGACGGGUGAGUAAUGUCUGGGAAACUGCGCGGUGGAGGGGGAUAAAUACUGGAAACGGUAGCUAAUACCGCAUACCAUCGUUGGUGCCCAUAUGGGAUUACCUAGUAGGUGGGGUAACGGCUCACCUAGGAGACGUUCCCAAGCUGGUAUGCGAGGAGGACCAGCCACACUGAAACUGGGACACGGUCCAGACUCCUACGGGAGUCAGAAGUGGGGAAUAUUGCACAAUGGACGCAAGCCUGAGGCAGCCAUGCCGCGUGUAUGAAGAAGGCCUUCGGGUUGUAAAGUACUUUCAGCGGUGAGGCGUUACCCGCAGAAGAAGCACCGGCAAAGUCCGUGCCAGCAUCCGCGGUAAUUC